CAGUAGCCGCGGUAAUACGGAGGGAGCUAGCGUUGUUCGGAAUUACUGGGCGUAAAGCGCACGUAGGCGGCUUUGUAAGUUAGAGGUGAAAGCCUGGAGCUCAACUCCAAAACUGCCUUUAAGACUGCAUCGCUUGAAUCCAGGAGAGGUGAGUGGAAUUCCGAGUGUAGAGGUGAAAUUCGUAGAUAUUCGGAAGAACACCAGUGGCAAAGGCGGCUCACUGGACUGGUAUUGACGCUGAGGUGCGAAAGCGUGGGGAGCAAACAGGAUUAGAUACCCGUGUAGUCCCUGUCUCUUAUAC
rnacentral:rRNA from 1 species